GAUUCCAAAUAGAGCUGCUAGCCAUUACUUUCUCGUCAGACUUGCAAUUUCCCUAAACAAGUAAACUAAACUAAUUUUUGCUUCUGUCAUUUAUUCAACAAUACAAGAAGUUCAAUGUAUAGAAGUUCAUUCAUUUCUCUUUGUGCCGUAUGAUCAUUACUACAAUCAAAAUAAAUAAAUUUAUUCAAAUGGAAAUUGGAAUUCUGGCAAUGAAUAUAAGCUAUCAAUUUUGUCACUUCAAACACUUUACUUGAGAAUGUUCUCCCUUGACUGGAACAUAAAUUAUGGUUCUGAAUACAUUAUGUAAAAUGCUUCUUGCUUAUUAUUUGCUCAUUCAUUUUGUUCCGUUUUAUUUUGAAAUUUUGCUCAUUUUUUGUCACUACACCUGAGACAUGUACACUUGGUAAUCCUUCUACCUCCUAUUUGCUCCACAGGAAAUUGUUUCCAAACAACAUUUAGAACAUGGAACACAAUGAGGAUAUUUUUGGUGAACAUUAGGAGAAACAUGAUGAUGAUGUAGUAUGCUUCUUAUACUGUAGAGUUCUUUUUUUGAAAAAAAAUAAAUGAAAUUUUCUUGAUAUUUCAGGAAGAAGAUGCCUAAGUUAACAUGGAUAGUAGUCUUCCAAGCCUUUCUUUGUGGUCUAUUUUGGUAUGUUUUAAAUUUUAUUAAUCUCUCAAAUGACUUAUUACAUUUUUUUUUUUAAAAGAUAAAGCAUAAAAAUUCCAUGUUUGACUUAUGGAGAAGUGUACCAAAUAAGGACUCUCUUAAAUGUAGUUGAGAUUUAUUGACCUCAAUAUUUGCCUUCUUUUCAAUUGCUUUAUGUGACACAUGUACUAUAUAUGUUUGUCCAACAUUGAUAAAAGCUUUCAUUAGCA
rnacentral:lncRNA from 1 species